AGUUUUCUGUUAAAAGCAGAUGGCUUAUUCAGUCUUCCUAUCAUUUCUCAACGGGAGUGGCAACCAUGGGAAAACUCGAAUAAGGAGGUGUUUUACAGAAUUUCAUUUACCGGCGCCAAGGUCUCAUUUCCCGGAGGCUGAGUUCCGGAACCAGGGUAUAAAAGCCCUCAAACGUAGUUAAAUAUCACAGAUAUUCACCUACAGGUCUGCGAGAUUGUGAGCUUUUGAUUAUAGCAAUCUAAAACGUUAACAUGAAUCAGCUUAAAUUGAUCCUUCUAAUCGGCUGCCUAACUUCUUUCUUGUUCGCCGAACUGGCCAACGCACACUUUCGUCUCGGCCGGGGAAUGGAGCGAGGCGGCGCACUGCCCCUGGAUGAAAGGAGGACCGCCCCGCUAGAUGAAAGGUUCGAGGACGCUCGCGCUGAAGCCAAGAGAGAAAUGCUCUUACAACGCCUGGAAAAUCUAUUAGAUAAGUAUGAAGCAAGAGUGAGGCGAAGCGAAGAAACAGAGAAUUAACCAAAGGGCCGCAGGCGGUAAACACGGAUUGUUAUAAGAACUGAACAAUAAAUUUCCCGACAGAGAUAUGGAAUACUCGAGAUAUUUCAUGUCCAGUUGAAUGUGUAAUAUAUAAAAUAACGUCACUUCCCUAAUUCCGCGCCUAAUUCUGUAAAGUUUUAAGCUUAAACUAGAUAACAUUAGUUAAUAAUGUAAAAAGUCGCCUUUCUUGACCAUUAUCUGUAAAAGCUUAAGUUAUCACUGUUGUUGUUUGCCAAUAAUUUCUUUACGUAGUUCAAAAUUCUUGAGUCGUCACUUUUCAAUAUUAUGGACAAUAAAGUACUUAAGAUCAUUCGAA